GGUUUUAUGGUGUAGUGGUUAGCACUCUAGACUUUGAAUCUAGAAACCUACGUUUGAAUCCUAGUAGGCCCU
rnacentral:tRNA from 1 species